ACAAAUUUGAGUAAGACUCUGCAUUGAAAGAAAAUUCCUGUGAGAACAGAGAUUUCAUAAAACUCCAAGUUGCAGACCCACUGCAGCCUCAAGCCCAAUCUUUCCCCCAUAGAUGGUUCACACAGUGAUACAUGGUAC